CACUUCAGCACCUUGUCCAAAUUGUCUCCUGU
rnacentral:piRNA from 1 species